rnacentral:rRNA from 1 species
GUGGGGAAUCUUGCGCAAUGGGCGAAAGCCUGACGCAGCCAUGCCGCGUGAAUGAUGAAGGUCUUAGGAUUGUAAAAUUCUUUCACCGGGGACGAUAAUGACGGUACCCGGAGAAGAAGCUCCGGCUAACUUCGUGCCAGCAGCCGCGGUAAUACGAAGGGGGCUAGCGUUGCUCGGAAUUACUGGGCGUAAAGGGCGCGUAGGCGGACAGUUUAGUCAGAGGUGAAAGCCCAGGGCUCAACCUUGGAAUUGCCUUUGAUACUGGCUGUCUUGAGUACGGGAGAGGUGAGUGGAACUCCGAGUGUAGAGGUGAAAUUCGUAGAUAUUCGGAAGAACACCAGUGGCGAAGGCGACUCACUGGCCCGUUACUGACGCUGAGGCGCGAAAGCGUGGGGAGCAAACAGGAUUAGAAACCCCUGUAGUCC